GGAGCCGGCCAGACAACCGCCGCCAUCACGUCGAUGGGGGAGGAAAGUCCGGGCUCCGCAGGGCAGUGUGCCAGUUAACGGCUGGGCGGCGCGAGCCGACGGAAAGUGCAACAGAGAGAGACCGCCGAUGGCUUCGCAAGGAGCACAGGCAAGGGUGAAACGGUGCGGUAAGAGCGCACCGCGAGUCUGGUAACAGACCGGCACGGCAAACCCCACACGGAGCAAGGCCAAAUAGGGAAGGAGCCACCGCAAGGUGGCAGGCGUGGCCCACGCCCCUUCCGGGUAGGCUGCUGGAGCCCAUCGGUGACGGUGGGCCUAGAGGAAUGGUUGUCUCGGCCGUCGCUCGCAAGGGCGGCGGGUAUGACAGAACCCGGCUUAUCGGCCGGCUCCCACU
rnacentral:RNase_P_RNA from 1 species